rnacentral:rRNA from 1 species
ACGGGAGGCAGCAGUGGGGAAUAUUGGGCAAUGGGCGCAAGCCUGACCCAGCGACGCCGCGUGAGUGAAGAAGUAUUUCGGUAUGUAAAGCUCUAUCAGCAGGGAAGAUAAUGACGGUACCUGACUAAGAAGCCCCGGCUAACUACGUGCCAGCAGCCGCGGUAAUACGUAGGGGGCAAGCGUUAUCCGGAUUUACUGGGUGUAAAGGGAGCGUAGGCGGCGCAGCAAGUCAGAUGUGAAACCCCGGGGCUUAACCUCGGGACUGCAUUUGAAACUGCAGUGCUAGAGUGCGGGAGAGGUAAGCGGAAUUCCUAGUGUAGCGGUGAAAUGCGUAGAUAUUAGGAAGAACACCAGUGGCGAAGGCGGUUAGCUGGACAAUAACUGACGCUGAGGCGCGAAAGCGUGGGUAGCAAACAGGAUUAGAUACCCUGGUA